UAUCUGAACCUUCGGGGAACGAUAACGGCGUCGAGCGGCGGACGGGUGAGUAAUGCCUAGGAAAUUGCCCUGAUGUGGGGGAUAACCAUUGGAAACGAUGGCUAAUACCGCAUGAUGCCUACGGGCCAAAGAGGGGGACCUUCGGGCCUCUCGCGUCAGGAUAUGCCUAGGUGGGAUUAGCUAGUUGGUGAGGUAAGGGCUCACCAAGGCGACGAUCCCUAGCUGGUCUGAGAGGAUGAUCAGCCACACUGGAACUGAGACACGGUCCAGACUCCUACGGGAGGCAGCAGUGGGGAAUAUUGCACAAUGGGCGCAAGCCUGAUGCAGCCAUGCCGCGUGUGUGAAGAAGGCCUUCGGGUUGUAAAGCACUUUCAGUCGUGAGGAAGGUAGUGUAGUUAAUAGCUGCAUUAUUUGACGUUAGCGACAGAAGAAGCACCGGCUAACUCCGUGCCAGCAGCCGCGGUAAUACGGAGGGUGCGAGCGUUAAUCGGAAUUACUGGGCGUAAAGCGCAUGCAGGUGGUUUGUUAAGUCAGAUGUGAAAGCCCGGGGCUCAACCUCGGAAUAGCAUUUGAAACUGGCAGACUAGAGUACUGUAGAGGGGGGUAGAAUUUCAGGUGUAGCGGUGAAAUGCGUAGAGAUCUGAAGGAAUACCGGUGGCGAAGGCGGCCCCCUGGACAGAUACUGACACUCAGAUGCGAAAGCGUGGGGAGCAAACAGGAUUAGAUACCCUGGUAGUCCACGCCGUAAACGAUGUCUACUUGGAGGUUGUGGCCUUGAGCCGUGGCUUUCGGAGCUAACGCGUUAAGUAGACCGCCUGGGGAGUACGGUCGCAAGAUUAAAACUCAAAUGAAUUGACGGGGGCCCGCACAAGCGGUGGAGCAUGUGGUUUAAUUCGAUGCAACGCGAAGAACCUUACCUACUCUUGACAUCCAGAGAACUUUCCAGAGAUGGAUUGGUGCCUUCGGGAACUCUGAGACAGGUGCUGCAUGGCUGUCGUCAGCUCGUGUUGUGAAAUGUUGGGUUAAGUCCCGCAACGAGCGCAACCCUUAUCCUUGUUUGCCAGCGAGUAAUGUCGGGAACUCCAGGGAGACUGCCGGUGAUAAACCGGAGGAAGGUGGGGACGACGUCAAGUCAUCAUGGCCCUUACGAGUAGGGCUACACACGUGCUACAAUGGCGCAUACAGAGGGCGGCCAACUUGCGAAAGUGAGCGAAUCCCAAAAAGUGCGUCGUAGUCCGGAUUGGAGUCUGCAACUCGACUCCAUGAAGUCGGAAUCGCUAGUAAUCGUGGAUCAGAAUGCCACGGUGAAUACGUUCCCGGGCCUUGUACACACCGCCCGUCACACCAUGGGAGUGGGCUGCAAAAGAAGUAGGUAG
rnacentral:rRNA from 1 species